ensembl:lncRNA
CUGCUGCCUCAGAAAGAUGUAUUUCUCCGUGAUGCUUUGCUUGCGUGGAGCUGGGUUGGAAGCGGCAUUUAAAAGAGCAGCAGCUGCACAUCUCCAGUCUGAGGGACCAAAACCAUAGAGGUGUGUGAGUGCAGAGGGCUGAUGGGCUGCAAAGAACAUCACCUCUUUGCACGGCAUGACCGCAGUUGCUUUGCUCUGGGCUGAAUGACGAAGACAGGCCGAGUGGGAAGGGCUUUAGGUCUGUGGGGCAGGAUUCCCCCUGCGUUUGUCCAUCUUCCAGCUGGUUUUUGAUGAAAGGUGCUGUAAGGUGCCUGCUAGCAGCACUGAGUGUGUCCUUAUUCCUCAGGCAGAAUGUCACUGCUCUGAGUCCCCCAGCUCAGGGCAGUUACUGCAUGGCACAGAUGAACAGAGAGCAAAGGCAAAGGCUUGGAUUGUGUCACAGCCAGGCUGUGGUCCAAACACCUACAAUGAAUCCCAAAAGCAGUUAUGGGAUCGUUUAUUAAAAAUGUUCUUCACUUUCUAUUCCUUCUGCUAGUGCAGAGAGCUCCCAUCUCUUAACUUGCUUGCACCGAGUCUUUAGUGCACUCUCUCAGGUGUUGCCAUGUUUGAUGUGCUUUAUCUCAAGGCAAGAUAAGUUAUUAAUCACCUUAUCAAUCUGAGUCCAGGGGUAAGGAAUGUUAAUGGUUAGCAAGUGUUACUCUGUUGUCCUUGAAUAUUCACACUUGUGAAUAUUUAAGCCUUCUAUGCCCCCGUGUAAACAAGCUUCAAUGUCAUUUUGAGGAAUUUGCGAUCCACAUAGAAAUCAUGCAGCUGCCAUGAGAUUGUACAAGAGAUAAGGAAACGCAAAGACCAUACAGAACACUUGAGAAACGAAAGCACAGCCUUCAAACUCUACAGAAUGAGACCAUAGAUGGGUGUGCAGCCCACUGCUGGGAUUGCUUUCAUUUUCACUUUUGUUCUGCUGUUUAAUCUAUUGCUGACAUGGUGACGGAACAAAAGCAGUCUGUGUGACACAGAGGCACGGGAGAUUUCCUUUGUAUUCGGAGUUGGUGAAGCACGGACCACUGAACAGAAUGUGAAGUGAAGGGAAUUGGUAACUUCUUGGAGAAAGGAUUAUGAUGCAUUGUAUAUAAUUCUUGGCACCAUAAUUCUGGUUCUAGUAGAAGAAAUAGCAGAGUCUGAAUUUAAACAUCCACCAGAGAUAUAGUUAAAGAAUUACUUUGCAUGUCCAUCUCUCAUUUUUUAAACGAUUUCAGGGUUAAAUUAAUGUACAUCGGUAUGAGAUUCUAGCUAGCAUUUCUUUCUAAGCCCAAAACCUGAUCUUCAGACAUCUUGCCCUGUGCUUAUUCUCUAAAUUUAUGCUUGUGUUCUGCACCUGGUUCUUAAAGCAAAUAUUAUGAAAAUAAGAAAAAGUGAAUGCAUUUUUUUCAGAGGGAGAAAUUAAUAUUCUUUAUCACCUGUCAUUUGGUGUCUCAUUGACUGCCUUUCUUACUAUUAGCUGUCACUAGCUGUGGUAGGAGAUAGGAAUGUGUUUAUAAGAAUUGGUGGCUGAAUUCUGCUGAGAUUUUAAGGGGGCAAAGUACUCCUCUCACUCAGAUGCCAAACAUUUUUAGGAACACAAAGUCCAGUAAAACCAUUAGUUGUAGCAUUUUCUCUUCCAGCUUUUGGGGCUCUUCCUUCUUACUUUCACCGUCACUGUUUAUGGCAUGAACUUCAUGUGACCCUGAUGACUCUGCUAUAAAACUGAAGGAUAACACAGGAAAGAUGAGCUGGAGAGCAAAUUAGAGGAAUAAAUGUGGAAAUGUGUUGAAGAAAUACAACAGGAAAUUACAGAGCACAUGAACAGAAAGUGAAACCUCGUAUCGAAAAUGUUCCUAGUACGUUCUGGAGUGUUUCAGGUUUAAAAGCAACUGGGAAAAAAAAUAAAGGAGAUUGUAGAGGGUGUAGUUACAGAUAGUGGGACACAACAACCAACUCUUACCUCCAAUAUCACUGCUGUUACGCAACAGAACAAAAAAUGCUCCACAAAUUAACUCAUUACAAAGAGUAAUGCAGAUAGUGACAAUAAAUAAACAUCAAAUGAACAACCUGUCUCUAAAUUCUGGUCCUAGAUUUGUUAUACUUGCAACCAAAUCAGGUAGUCCUAAUACUGUUCCCUAGAUGAUCUUGGCCGCACCGGUUUUGCCUUUGCAUAAAGCAAGGAGGACCAAAGCAAAGGAGGAAGAAACAUCUUCAGGUUUCACAGAGCAGGAGGAAUGUGAGCUGCUCCUUCCUGAACACUGCACUGGUUCAACAGGUUCCCAGUUGCAAGCAAUUACCUUCUGCAUAACAAACACAAAACAUGCAUAAAUGAAGUCUCAUUGUCCACAUCACUGUCAGAACGUGGCCACACACAUUAAGACGCCCCAUCUACACUCAGGUGAAUCAGCUUUGUGGAAGGGACAUUAAGCAGCCUUUUUGGACCAAAAAAAAAAAAAAAAAGUAAAAUAAUGUUUGAGUUACUGUUCAUAAGAGAAUAACUAGGGGAUAAGCAUUAACCAACAACAUGUACCCUUGUUUUCUUGAUUCAGGAUCUGAAACUCAAUGAUAUUGUUUUGGUUGGUUUCUUUUUCACUCGAGUGUAACACACAUACCUUCACCGCAUGCCAGGGGUUUGGAGGCUACUGCUGUUAUUUUUCCAACUCUGAUUCAUGUUUAUGAACUCCUACAGGAAAGUGGAGUGACAGUGAGCUUCCCUACCUGCUUCUUACAAAGACACUGUGAGGAUCUAUGGGACCCAUGGCCAAGUACAGGUAUGAUUGUAGUGGUGCUUGAGACCCACAAACCUGCAUUACAACAGAGAUUCAAGAGCCAAACCUGAGUUUCAGUGGAGCUCCUAGAUGCUAACAAGAGCUGCAGGGGCUUAAAUGGUGUUGGUGGGUAUGUGGAUGGAGGCUCUAGCUAAUUACAAGUGGCUCAUUGCUCAGUUUCAUCAACUCUGCAAGAUCUGAGCCAUCCCUACUUGGCUUUCCAGAACAUGCAGUCUACAUAAUCACUCCCUUGGGACAGGAAUUCAUCCGGAAGGCAAAGUAACAGGAAGUAGCAUUUCCCCAGUCUUUAGCUGCAUACCAUUAGAGGAGGAGGUAGGAUGGGUGCUGUGUGACAAAUAGGCUCAACAGCUGCAUUGACAUACAUCUUGCUUAGGUGUAUAAACCACAAUAAGCCUCAACAUUAUAAUUCCAUGACCUGGAAAACUCAUUAAGAUCAGAACACCAGGUGGGUGCUCAUUAAGAACAGAACACAUGACCAUAGAUGGUCAUGAAGAGCAGAACACCAGGUAGGUGCUCAUGACCAUGACCACAAAAAGAAGGAGUACAGACCAGGGACAUUCAAUCUGCUGAAAUCCUUUGUCACAACCCAAGGAAGAGUUCUGUCACUAGUUGUAAAUGAGUCUGGGGCCCAGGUGGUCGUCUUGCCUCCUCCAACGUGAUUGGGAUAUGGCCCUACCCAUGUGCAAGAGCAGUGGGUUGGAGAGGCUGUAGGUGGUCUCACUCUCCUCCUGCCCAAACAACUGCUAGUUGACCCUCCGUGCUGUAAAGAUGUAUUUUGAGAGAUUUCUCUCUCCCCCACUAAGCUCCCAUUGUUACUCAACAGAACUUCAUAGUUUUACAAGAUCAGAUGCUAUGGAGAGAUGGUACCUCAACUUCAAUAGGCCUCUCCUCCUACUGCCCCUUAUCUUCUUAGCGUGGUGCUCUCAUUUCACCCAUUUAGGGAGCAUUUGGGACAUCAGCCCUCUUACCUCUCAGUCUCUUAUGCCACCCUGCAAUAAUUAAUAUAGUCACAGUUAACAA